AAACUAAGCUUCGAUAUUUCACCACGUUCGAACAAUCUGAAUCUUCGAAAAGCACUUCCGAUGUCAACAACUGCAGACUUCCGGCCAAGUUUGACGUGGAACGAAACAACUUUUGACUGACGGUUUCGCAUGGUUAAACAAUAUGUCUGCUUCGGACGAAGAAGAUUUUGCCAGUGCUGAAGAGGGUGAGGAAAUCAAAGGAAAAAAGCCAGUCAAGAAAGGUGCCAAGGGAGAGCAAAAUAGACCUUCAUCUGCUAAGGGAAAGCAGUCAAAACGAUCUACUGGUGAUAAGCAAGGAAAGCAGAAAAAGAAAGAAGCAGAAUCAAUUAACAAAGAAACACCGCGAGUUGGUGAAACAGCGAAAGGUAGCGUCAAAAAGUGUUGGAAGAACAGAAAAGCAGAGUAUCAGAGCCAGCACAGGCCACACACCCCCUCAGCUCAGAAGACCACAGCACUGAUAAUAAACCUGCAGUAGCCCCUGCCAAUGCUCUCAAGGAAAUAAUAGGUACAACACAUAGUAAGGAAGUAACAACUAGUUCUUCUAGAAAUAUUGUACAAGAACCAAUGAAAGGCACUGUUCCAGAGAAUGUUUCUGGAGAAGAUGAGAUGAAUUCUGAAAUUUCUGCUGUAGCUGCAGGAGACACGCAGCAACAGCCUCAACCUAAACUACAGCAAACUGAGUCAGAGAACCCAUCAGUGCAAGUGAUUUCACGAGAUGCUGGUGAUGCAGUGGCUGCAGAGGACGAAGGGGGCCAAACAGAUGCCAAGAGUGAUGAGGGCUGGAGUUGGGGAUGGGGGUCUUCCUUUAUUAAUGCAGCAACAUCUUCUCUGGAGACUUUCACUUCUCAAGUUGGUGAGGGGUUAGCAACUAUCAUUGACACCGUAGAGUCGAGUCUUGGAGUUCCUGAUCCUCAGGAGCUUGCCCAAGCUGAAGCAGCUGUAGAAAAAGCCUCGGAACCCAAUGGCGCUGAGAGAGUAGAAGGAACAGCGCAACCAUGUGAAAAAGAAAGCACAGAUAAAGGGAAGAGAGAACUAGUUCAGAAUGAAAAGGGAGCAGAGGUACAGGCAGGCAACCGUCUUCUUGAAGAGGAAGUGCAGGAAAAGAGUAGCUGGCUUUCAGGCUGGGGGAUGUCCAGCCUCACCUCCAUGGGCAAAUCGUUGGUCAACAAAAGUCAGUCACUGAUGAACUCUGGCUUUGAAAAGGCAGAAGUUCUGGCUGCAGGAGGCCUGGAUAUCCUUGAGACCAUUGGUAAAAAGACAUACACCACCCUGACAGAACAUGACCCAGGACUGCGGCGAGCGCGAGAGUUUUUGCACCUUCAAGGAGAGAAACCCAGCUUGUCAUCUGUGUUAAAAGAAGCCCAGGAACAGGCAGAGAAGCAGGCAAAGCUAGACGAAGAGUUCAAAGAAGCUCUUAAGAUCAACUUUGGAGCUUUGUUUGAAGAUAAUCAAGGUUUUGCACAUUUGGAAGCUCUUGAAAUGCUGUCCAACCAGAGUGAACGAAAAGUGCAGUCUUUGCUGUCACACAUGGCAGAUGAUGAUCUGGAGUUAGUGCGGCCACAUCUGGUUGAGAUCAAAGAUGUUUUUCAGCAGUUGGGAGAAGUACAAGAGAAGGAGACAGCAGAUGAGUUGGAGCAUGACUUCAGCAAACUGGUGACAGAAAAUCUUUCUGAACUCCACAUGGGAACAACCCCAGACAAACUCAACCAGGUUCAGGAAUCUGUACGACAGUGGAUUGCUGACUUUUACUCCCAUGAGGAUCAUGGUAAAAUCUCUGAUGUCAAGGAGGUACAGCAAAGAGCUAUCCAGUCACUAGCAGAAGUGACAGCCAAAGCAGUUGAGCAAUUUCACAAGGCUGGGGAGCUGGUUUUGUUGCAGAAUGAUGCAGAGAAGAGUUGUGUUCAUCGAGCUAAGAGCUUAGCUAGGCUGGCUCAGGUGUUGGUGACAGAGGUGGAUAUCCUUGCUACCAAAUUUUCCGAGUGCCUCAACAAAAUUGCUGAAGAGAAAAACAUCGCGGAUGAAGUGAAUCCCAUGGUUACAAAUAUCUAUUUGGAGGCCAGCAAUGCUUGCGGCUACAUUCAGGAUGCUUUUCGACUGCUGCUGCCCGUUCUUCAGCAUGCUGCUUUGCAGUCAGCUGUAAACAAGAGCCUGUCUUAGUCUAUGGCCAAAGCACCAGCUUUUGUGUCGUACAAGUUCAGCAGUGGGACAUCUGGGAAUUUUAUCUCAGACUUGUCCAAAGUUUUAAAAUGGGAAUAAAAAUUUUCUUUACAAAGGCAGGCAAGGAAAUCAAGAACUUUCAAAUGAUGCUGUGGUUCUGUGUAUCUAUGUUGAACUUCAUCUGCUUCAGAGUAUAAAAAAAAAAAAGUAUCAUUAAAAAGAAAGGUGGAGGUUUUCAGUGCACCAUUUUCCGUUCAUUUAGUGGCUCGCUCAUUAGAAGUAAACUGAAAAAUUUUUUUUUACCAAAUUUUGAUUUGGUCACAACUGUGAACUUCUGAUAAUUUAAAUCAUCACAGAUUGUGAAAGUAAAUGCAAUAAUGUUGAAUGAUCUUUGGUGUUGUAUAGGGUUUGGGCCUGUAAGUUUUUUUUUUUUCUGAUGGCUAGAGUAAUGGCAUCCAAGACAUGCAUGCUAGCUGGUUUGAUGCAACGUACUUCUAGCUGAGGAGCAGGUACCUACCUCCAUAAAGAGUUGAGGAAGGUAAAGCAGAAAGGGAGAAGAGAUGGUCAUUACCCUCACAAAAGCUGGCCCUAAGAUCAGUGAGGGCUCUAACACUUUACUGCCCUAAGACCAAAAGGUCACAGGCUUGCCUUUAGAGGUCUGCAUAGGAAUGUGACAGCAUAGCAAUUUCAAGCACAUUUGUUAAUAUUAGCCCAUCUCUUUUUUGUGGGGUAAUUAUUUGCACAAGACAGAACUGCUACUUAUUUCAUUUUUGUAACUAUAGCAUUUUUCCUUUUAGUUUCUUGUAAGCCAAAAUUGUUUUAUUACGGCACACAAUAUAUCCUAGCUUCUGCUGUCUACAGUCAUUAAAAUUCAUGUUUCCUUUGUCAUCACCUGUUGACACAGUAGCUGUCAAUAUUCAAAAUCAAUGGGUUCAGUGUAUUAAGACUGUUACUUGGUUUAACCUGUCUAGUAUCCUGGAAAAAUGUAAAUAAAUACUGAAGGAUUUUUUUUCUAAAACAUUUAAUAAUUUCCUAGCUGGCCCUUAAAAGAAAACUUAUUUUUGAAGUAUCAUUUCAAGGAAUAGGCGCAGUUGAGUUAGAAGUAUCUAAAUGUGAAUCUUAAAAGCUUCCAGGUGAUGCCAGUGAAGCAUAUUCAUAGCCACAUUUAUGAGCUGUACUAUUGUAAAUAAAUAUCAGUAAGGUUU
rnacentral:misc_RNA from 1 species